GACGAACGCUGGCGGCGUGCUUAACACAUGCAAGUCGAACGGAAAGGCCCUGCUUUUGUGGGGUGCUCGAGUGGCGAACGGGUGAGUAACACGUGAGUCACCUGCCCUUGACUUUGGGAUAACUUCAGGAAACUGGGGCUAAUACCGGAUAGGAGCUCCUGCUGCAUGGUUGGGGUUGGAAAGUUUCGGCGGUUGGGGAUGGACUCGCGGCUUAUCAGCUUGUUGGUGGGGUAGUGGCUUACCAAGGCUUUGACGGGUAGCCGGCCUGAGAGGGUGACCGGCCACAUUGGGACUGAGAUACGGCCCAGACUCCUACGGGAGGCAGCAGUGGGGAAUAUUGCACAAUGGGCGGAAGCCUGAUGCAGCAACGCCGCGUGCGGGAUGACGGCCUUCGGGUUGUAAACCGCUUUCGCCUGUGACGAAGCGUGAGUGACGGUAAUGGGUAAAGAAGCACCGGCUAACUACGUG
rnacentral:rRNA from 1 species